UACGUAGGGUGCGAGCGUUAAUCGGAAUUACUGGGCGUAAAGAGUGCGUAGGCGGUUCGUUAUGUCUGCUGUGAAAGCCCCGGGCUUAACCCGGGAAUGGCAGUGGAAACUGGCGGGCUUGAGUGUGGCAGAGGGGGGUGGAAUUCCGCGUGUAGCAGUGAAAUGCGUAGAGAUCGGAAAGAACAUCAGUGGCGAAGGCGUCUGCCUGGCACCAGACUGACACUUAAGUGCGAAAGCGUGGGGAGCAAACAGG
rnacentral:rRNA from 1 species